AGAUUGAACGCUGGCGGAAUGCUUUACACAUGCAAGUCGAACGGCAGCACGGGGGCAACCCUGGUGGCGAGUGGCGAACGGGUGAGUAAUACAUCGGAACGUGCCCAAUCGUGGGGGAUAACGUAGCGAAAGCUACGCUAAUACCGCAUACGAUCUACGGAUGAAAGCGGGGGAUCGCAAGACCUCGCGCGAAUGGAGCGGCCGAUGGCAGAUUAGGUAGUUGGUGGGGUAAAGGCUCACCAAGCCAACGAUCUGUAGCUGGUCUGAGAGGACGACCAGCCACACUGGGACUGAGACACGGCCCAGACUCCUAGGGAGGCAGCAGUGGGGAAUUUUGGACAAGUGGGCGCAAGCCUGAUCCAGCCAUUCCGCGUGCAGGAUGAAGGCCCUGGUUAGUAAACUGUCGUUUUUGGAACGGAACGUAAAGUCCUUUUUACAAUACGAGGAA
rnacentral:rRNA from 1 species